UGAGCUGCUGUCAGGGGAAACUAGCAGCUUCUGACCUGCAAAAUGAGCAGUUACCAUCUUUACUCUGCAGUCUGCCUCCCACACGGAAUAUUAUAAACAUCAGAUGAGAUACUGUGUAAACAACAUGCUUCGAGGAGGACAGUGACAAAUAAGAUCUGUCCUGAGGACCAUAACGAUGAUGGAUAGGGGUUUCGGUAAUCUUGUGGUAUGUGGGAAGACUCCAGAGCUGGAAAAAUUUAUAUUGGAGAAGACUUAACAAGAUAUAAGAGUUUCAAGUAUCUAAUGGGCUGCCUUGGCAGAAGAGGAAUUCGUCAUUGGGGAAGUUCUUUGCAUCAAGUCUUAUGAAGUAUUUCACUUCGAAACCACAGGAAACAGGAUUGGAAAACAGGAGCAAAUGUUUCAGAUUCACAGACUAGGAAACUGGAAAAUGUCAAGGCAAAACAGAGACAACGAGUUACAACACAAUUAAAGGAGCGAUGCGGACCAUGGUAUGUUUAGGGAUUAUGAUCC